UUUGAGGUCUAGAGAGGUUUUGACCUGAGGUUACAUGAAAUAAGGUAAGAAAAAUUGUUUCCUUUGUUUUUCCGAAAUUUGGGUUAAGAACCUAGUGUGAACAUUAUGAAAUUUGUAUGUGAUUAGAUUAUAUGGAUUAGCUUGGCUUGUUUGGUUAAAUUGGUGCAGUUGGAGUACAUGGUGUGGUUGCGAAACGAUUGGUGGAGGCUUGGAGGAGUCGGUUGAGGCUUGAGUCUGGUUGGAAAGAAAAUUUAAGUGUUAGAAAAAUUGCCGUCAAUAAGGUACGGGUUUUGGUUCUGGGUAGACAUUAUGUAAAGUAUGUGAAAACCUAGGUUAAAUGCUUUAGGAUAGGUUUGAAUAGAAUUGGUUGGUUGAUGAUUGAUUAAUUGUUGAGAAAUAUUGUGAAUUUUCAAAAUGAGUAUAAUUGAGUUUGAAUAUAAUUGUGAUUGAAUAGAUGUUGUAAUUGAUUGCCUAUUGAGAUUUUGAUAUGAAAAUUGGGUCGGAGACUGUGAUAGGGUGAAGUAUCCCCUAUUUGGUAAGUUACGGUAAGUGGUGUAAGUGCCAUGUUCUGAAUUGUGGUUGAAAUAAUAAGUUUGGAUAGAUAAUUGAUGAGUUGUGGUUAUUGUUAUGAAUGUAUAUUUUGAUGAUUUAUGCUAUAUGAGUUGAAAUUGGGUUGAUUAGGCUUGAUUGGUUAGCAAGUGAUUGAAUAUUGAUAAAUGAGUAUUGAUGGUAUUUAGAAGUGGUUUGUGAUGGGUUAGAAUGAGGUAAAUUGGAGUUUUUGUAAAAAUAACAUCAUGCAGAUUUUUGGUAAAAAUAGAUUUUUGACUAACUUCGACGGGCCAUAACUUGGCAUUCGGAGUUCGGAAUUUGAUGAAACUUAUCUUAAAUUAAAGAUAAUGAUGAGAGAUUUAAAUUGGUUUAAGAAUUAAGGAAAACAAAAUGUUGUAGAUGAAGUUAUGAACAAUUGAAAAUUGAUAUUUUAAACUGAAAUCUGAGAUGUUGCAGAAAAACAAGAAUUUUGGCCUGUGGACUGUAAAGACUUGUGUGUAAGUACGACGGUGUGCGUACGCACGCCAAGGGAGAUUUUCAAGUUGUACGUACGUAUGAGGGGUAAUGCGUAUGCACAGGUCCUAUUUUCAUAAAAAGUCUCUAUUUUUUACUGGUUAGCUUUUCUAACAAGCUUGUAAACCCUUGUAACCCUUGAAUAAGGUAUAAUAACUAGUUUUUAGGCUCUGAAUGAGUGUGAGCAUAUUGAAUGGAUUAAAUUGACAAAUUGAAUGAGAUUGUGGAUUGAAGGAUCGAAGUUAAUGAUAAUUGAUGAAAGCUUGUGGUUAAUGAACCUAUUGAAUAAAAAAUUUAUUAAAGACAUUAAUGAUAACUGAUUGAGAUUUGAAAUACUGAAAUGGCAACGACAGUGGUAAAUUUUGCUUCUGCAUUGAUUGAUAUUCAUUCCGAACAAGGACGGUGGUUAAUCCCGCUUGUUCGAGGUGCCCGAUAAAGACGGUUGGUUAAUCACGCUUACUCGUGGACUAAUGUAAUUGGCAAGGAUGGUGGUAAAUCUCGCUUGCAUAUUGAUCCGAGAACGUUCUGGGCAAGGACAAUUUGGUGAAUCCUGCUUGCUUUUAUGGAACCUACGAGUAAGGACAUUUGGUUAAUCCUGCUUACUCGAGUCAGGUUUGGCAACAUAACCGACGCGUGAGCUCAUGGCUAGUAGGACAAGCAUGCAUCAUAUGCAUCUUUAUGCAAUUGCUUGAGUGUGCAUCUUGUGUUUGGUUUUUCUAAGUGAAUAUCUCUGUUUAAUUGCUAAUUUCUAUAUAUGUUGUAAUUGCUCUUGAUUGUGUUUGCACCCUAUUACUUGUGUUUGCUACUGCUGAAUAAAUUGAUGAACCAUAUACUGAUUGGCUGUGAUGUUGAAAAGAGUAAAAUGCUGAGAUGUGUGGAGGAGAACUAAGAAUAUAGACCACUGAAUCUCGUUUGAUUGGAGUUUAGGAAUGCCUAGCGGGUUCGUGCAACUUUUACAUCGUCUCUUUUUGGAACUGUUACCUUAUUGGGAACCUUCGGGUUCUCACCCAUUGCGGAUUUUGUUGUUUUUCAAAUACAAGGCGUGAUGCACCUUGCUAAGCGUACUGGAUUCUCUUGGAUAGCGAAGACUCCUUUCCUAUUUUGUAUUUUGUGCUUAGUAAUGUUUAUUUCUCCACUUUUUUAUAUGCAUUUGUAUAUCCCUCUUAGAGGUUUCCUUUUGGAGAAACAGGGUUGUAUUUGGUUAUACUUUUGGAUUGUAAUACUUUCUAGCCGGCCUUUUCUUCGCAGGUCGAGACUAGUAUUUGCUAUGUAUCUCCUUUUGAAUCCUAUAUAUAUCGCUACGUGUGUGAUGACGAUUUAUUGCUUUUAUUUUAUCCUUCCUUCACAAGCUCCUAGUUAAAUUAUAUUUCUUCAAAUACUAUGUAUGAACUUUUCUGUUUAGGUGUCGUAAUACCUCACCACCUCUAAUUUAUGACUAUAGCGUAAGGCUUUGCGUGGUAGGGUAUUACAGGAGGCGAAUGAAGUUGAGUCGUUUAAUGACCACAUUGACAACUUGGUUGAUUUUCAAGAAGCCGAAGGUCAGAACCACGACAACUAACGCAAAGAUACAGAUAAUUGGAAUGUUACUAUCAUUGAGGACGACGUGACAAAAGGGACGAGUCGGAGCAUCAAGGGGGCUAUAGCACUUCCUCCAAAUAGAAAGAUCAUACUUCUGUUUAACAAAGAGUUGCAACCGGUUGAUCAGGUGGCUGGAUUAUUAAGUGAUUUUUUUGGGAGUUUGGGUGCUGAUUAUUUUCAGUUUUCCAUUUGUGAAAAGAGUUGGAAGACAGUGAACAAGACAACCAAGGAAUAUGCAUACAACAUGGUUAAGGUCUUUCAAUAUGAGGACGACGCCGAAGAAAAAAUAAAGUGAAAAAUUUUGCAAAGGAUAGGAAAGAACUGAAAGGAUACAAGACACAACUUGUAUCAUAAGUUUUACAAUGAAUAAAGACUCUUGAGAAAAAUGUUAAGCGUCACCUAUCAAGAAUAGAUGCAAAUCACUGGAAAUUAUUCUUUGAAUAUCGCUUGAAGGAAGAA